ensembl:lncRNA
UACAGGGCAUUUAUAUUCUCAACUUUAUCCUCUUUUCUGUGUUCCAACCUUUCUAGUUUUCCUCUUUACACACUCAUACACACACGCACAUGCAACCACACUACAGUCUAUCCAAAUGCACACACUUUACAGUUUACCAGGCCUUGUCUAUGCCUGUCUGAUAUUCUGCAUCUCUCAUUUCUCAUCAAGAGGACCUAAAUUUGGGCUCCAGCACGCAGUAGAGUGCUUCUGUAAUCCCAACUCCAGGUGAUAUGGGAGACAGAGACAGUAGAACCCUAAGAAGCCGUAGGGCUGAAUGGCCUGGAACAGGCAGCACAGCAGCAAAAAUGAAAAGACACAAAGACAUCCUGUCUCAAACACGGUGGGAGGCAAGGGCCCACACCUGUGUCCUCUGUCCUGUACAAGCCUGUGUGUAUCCGUUUGCCUGCACUCACAAUAACACGAACGCACAGACAAAAAUUUUAAAACCAAAAACCAAACCAAAGCAAACCAAAACAAAAAAACCCCAGAAAACAAAACUAUAUGCCUAGUAAAGUCACAGCCUCUUUGUCUGUGUGAGUGCCCUUGGACGUUCAUGCCAGGUAAACAGCAAGCAUCUCCCUCCCAGUUUACCCUGGUUAAGGGAUGCACGGUUGCAUUUAAAAUUGUUUAAAGACAGAAAGAGUCCUUAGAAAUAUCUAGUCCUCUAAGGUUACUGUGACUUUAAAUGGAAACCAGGCCACUCACAGUGCACCUGAAACUUUUAAAACUGCCGGGAUUCGAUUACAACAUCAGGGUUUAAGGGAUUGCGAUUCAACUGUGGAGUGGGAACAAACUUGAAGAGACUUCAGUCAGACCGUCUACGCACCGCCUCAGCUAUGGGAAUGAAUAAACAGGGUUUCGGGUGGGGACAGGGCUCUGCACCCUUCACUGGAGUCAUGCGACACCUAUCACGGAAAGCGCACAAUGGACCCGGUCAGAAACCUCAGACCGGAUCUGUUCACAACCCUAGAGAGACUGCGAGGUGUGACACAAUCAAGGCCACCGGGCACCUUCCCCGAAGUGUCAAUCAGAGCAGCCCGACACCCCGGGAUCCCAUGGUCAGUCAGAGACGGCCCUGCUCCAGGCCUGACGCAAAUCCAGAGCCGGCCGACAUCCCCCUGCCUCCGCCGGCUCUCACACCCUUGCGGAUCUCCAGCCCUGACCAGUGCUUCCGUGGCUCUUUCCCUGUCGCGGUGGGGAGCAUCCCCAGCGGGCCCACCACACGGACUGCGCCCCUCCCCACUCACCGGCCGCCCACGCGGCGUCCUCGGGGACCGCGGGAGCGGGGAGAACCAGGCCCGCGGCGCUAAGGCGGACUGGAUACACGACCGGGGCGUGGCGCCUUGGCCGACAGGAGGCGUCAACGACCGGGAGGGGCGGGGCCUUCCGGCUGUCACUCGGCGGGGGGGGGGGGGGCGGGAUCACCGUGAAAGGGGCGGUGCCUUAACAUUUACCAGAAUCCAGCUUGAGCACAAGCCUCGUUUUAGAUGCACCAGACUUCCAGGUGAUGAGAAACUCAGAUCAGAUUUAUUAGUGAAAUCCCACCUUGCAGUGGUCCAUAGUGUUCCCCAUUCCCUUAGGCUUCCUAGAACUCGCAGGACACCUGACCACCUCUACCCUCUACCGUCUAGCCUCCACCCUCCACACCCUUCCAGUUUUUGCCUUCCUCCAGGGGACAAGGCCUUCACCCCAACCCCUGGGGGUGUUCCGGUUUGGAGGUUGUCCUCCUAGCCCCCUCUCUGCCUUAAGGAGGAAUUCUUGGCUGGUUUUCAGCAGAAUUCUGAAGCUCUCUUCUCUCUGAAAACCAAGGCAAAUCUUUCAGGAACUUUAACAAUUAGAGUCAAUUGAUGACUCAGGAGACUUGUGGGUUUCAGUUGGAGAGUUCCAAUUUUCUCAGCCCCUGAACUUACAUUCAUCCUUGCAUAUAACUUCAUUCUUUGGUAUCUGAUUGGAAAUGUUUGAAAUUUUUUGAAAAACAAUCAUUUUAAUGGAAUAUCUAUUAAAUCCUUUUUGCUCAGAUAGUCUUUAUACUGGAGAUUAAACCCAGGGCCUUGUGCAUCCUAGGGAAGAGAUUAUCCCAGCCCUCUUGGGAGUAAUCUUAUCACAGCUGAAUUAACAAAAUUUAGUUAAGCUGUGUUGGUGGCCCACACUUUUGUAGUCUCAGAUACUCAGCAGACUGAGGCUGGAAGAUCACUUGAACUGAGGAACUAGAGACCAGCCUGAGCAAUGUAGUGAAACUCCAUCUCAAAGCAAAGUACAAGUUCUGACCCACACAGAUGUGAGCCUGAGUCAUGGUGCCAUGCCACUUAGUUUUUGUGAACCUGACACAACCAAUAGUCGCCUGAGAGGAAAUCACAUUAAGGAACAGCCUCCAUCAGACUGGCCUGUGAGCUUGUGUGUUGGGGGGGGGGGUAGGGAGGAGCAUUCUCUUGAUGAUGUGGGAGGGCCCAGCACACUAUGGGUGGUACCAUCCUAAGAGGGUGGAACCUGGCUGUUUAAAAGAGCAGGCAGUAAGCAGCGGUAUUCUUCUGUAGUCUUUGCUUCAAGUCCUGUCUCCAGGUCCCUGCCUUGAGCUCUUGACCUGGCUUACCUUAAUGAUGGACUAUAAGUCAAAUAAGCCCUUUCCUUCCCACGUUAGUUCUGGUCUGAAUUUUAUUGGAGCAACCAAAGAAGCAGGCUAGGACAGGCAUGUCUUAAUUAUUCUUUGCUAUGUAACAACCCCCUUUGCAAGGCUCCAUGCUCUCAUGUUCCCAAGAGCCCUUCUUUCCAGUUGCUUCCUCUAGAACAGUGCUCCUCAACCUGUGGGUUGUGGACCCUUUGGAGGGCUCCAAUGACGUUUCACAGGGGUCACCUAAAACCAUUGGAAAACAUGGAUAUUUAUAUUAUGAUUCAUAACAGUAGCAAAGCCACAGUUAUGAAGUAGCAAUAAAAUAGUUUCAUGGUUGGGGUCA